GCUUGUCUCAAAGAUUAAGCCAUGCACGUCUGAGAAUAAAGAGUUUUCUCUGAAUCUGCGAAUGGCUCAUUAUAUCAGUUAUAGUUUAUUUGAUAGUCCUUUACUACUUGGAUAACCGUAGUAAUUCUAGAGCUAAUACAUGCAUCAACUCCCAACUGCUUGUCGGACGGGAUGUAUUUAUUAGAUUGAAACCAAUGCGGGGCAACCCGGAGUGUGGUGAUUCAUAAUAUCUUUCGGAUCGAUUUAUCGAUGCAUCAUUCAAGUUUCUGCCCUAUCAGCUUUGGAUGGUAGGGUAUUGGCCUACCAUGGCUUUAACGGGUAACGGAGAAUUAGGGUUCGAUUCCGGAGAGGGAGCCUGAGAAAUGGCUACCACAUCCAAGGAAGGCAGCAGG
rnacentral:rRNA from 1 species